rnacentral:rRNA from 1 species
AACGAACGCUGGCGGCAUGCCUAACACAUGCAAGUCGAACGAGACCUUCGGGUCUAGUGGCGCACGGGUGCGUAACGCGUGGGAACCUGCCCUUAGGUUCGGAAUAACUCCCCGAAAGGGGUGCUAAUACCGGAUAAUGUCUUCGGACCAAAGAUUUAUCGCCUUUGGAUGGGCCCGCGUUGGAUUAGCUAGUUGGUAGGGUAAAAGCCUACCAAGGCGACGAUCCAUAGCUGGUCUGAGAGGAUGAUCAGCCACACUGGGACUGAGACACGGCCCAGACUCCUACGGGAGGCAGCAGUGGGGAAUAUGGGGCAAUGGGCGAAAGCCUGAUCCAGCAAGGCCGCGUGAGUGAUGAGGCCUUAGGGUUGUAAAGCUCUUUUACCCGGGAUGAUAAUGACAGUACCGGGAGAAUAAGCGCCGGCUAACUCCGUG